rnacentral:misc_RNA from 1 species
UCCCAGGCCAGCUUUGCCUUCAAUGGACACAGUCCAACGAUCAGUUCCCCCGCCCACACCACAGUGAUUAACUCCAGACCAGCAGCAUUCACAGCUAUUCCAAACCUUUCAAUCUUAAAUCCAUUACAAGGGGCAGCGAUAAUAAGUCAUUUGAAUCCAUCUUCUGUAAUCCGGCCUCCGACAGCUUUUCCAUCCACGAAUGUAAGUUCUUUUCCAAGUGUUUCUCCAAUUUCACAACCACCCCCCAAACUCACGGCAGCACCCACCCCCAAGUCCAGCCCAAGUACUAACGGUGGGGAACUAACGCAAACUACAAAAAAUGGACAGCUUCUGACCUUGCCUAGUGCUGUGUCAAAAAGACUGAAUCUCAAGCAGCCGCUAGCUCUGAAGAUCAACAACAUGCAAAUCACUGUCCCUCCCUCGUGCCUUCUUUUGACGGGGGAUGGACUAAAAGUGUUUCUGCCACCCAAAACAUUUCCCGUACAACUGGGAGAGACAGCUAAGCUUAGUGUUACGGUGACAAAUGACAAGUCAUCGCCGUCCAGUACAAAGAUUAGUGUUAAUAUUGGUGAUGUUAGUUCUCCCAAGAACGAUACUCCGGAAUCAAAGAGCAGUCGAUCUACACGACACUGGAAGUCUGGCAUCAACCCGGGCAACUGCCACAUCAAGAAGUUGUACGGAGGAUUCGACUGCAUGCUCUGUAUAUUUGAGUACCUCAACAUGCACGACUUGGCAAGAGUCAGUUUGGUUUGUCGAACUUGGAGGAACUUGGCACAGAAUCCAAUACUUUGGCGUGAUGUAAAACUUAGAAAUGUCAAAGUGAUGGAUUGGAAAAAGGCUGUCAAGUUUCUCCUGAGGAGGGCUGUUCAUUCCCUGAACCUGCGCGGACUUGAGCACUAUGAGAAUCGGAACCACACAUGGCACCAGUUUUUGUCGGUGGUGCCCCAGCUGACCUGUGUACAGAACAUCCAUUUUGGCCUGGUUCCCGGCUCCAUUCUCCAGCAUGUGUGUGAGAAGAUGCCUCAUCUAGAAGUCUUCACUGCCGAGUGGAUCAGUGAUUAUGACGAUGAGCAGAAAUGGGACCAUGUCACCAAGUUAAACAUCGGAAAGUUCAGCUCUUUGCCCCAACUUACGGAGCUGAAGCUGCGUGGUGUAGCCGGGUUGGCCAUGCCCUCAUAUACACUGAGCGGGGGGUUGGAUGAUCUGUCAUCCCUCACCCAACUCAAAAAGCUGUCCUUGACAACCCUAGCCAAAGUGGAGGAGACAGAUUUCUCUUUCCUGGAGAAGAUGGAACAACUGGAGUGUCUGGAACUUGGAGAUUGUCUACACUGGACGUCCAAGACGUAUUCCUUACUGGCCAAUCUGAAGAAUCUGAGGACCCUUCGGUUGGAGAAUGGUGGCAACAUUGACAGUGAUCAAGGACUCGGAGAAGCUCUCAGUCAGAUCAAAAGUCUUCAAAAGUUGGAGUUGAUCAUGUAUGUGGUGCCAGAGUCAAUGAAAGGAUUGGACCACAUCAAGACACUGGUGGUCUGGCCCAACACUCAAGAAAGUACGCCGAUACCAGCGAGGGUGAAUUUCAACAUGUUUAAGCUGGUGACAGGACUCCAGUCCUUAGAGAGGUUAGAGUGGGGGAUCAUGAACAAUACCAGUACCUCCAUUAUCCUGGAGAACGAGACUUCAAGCACUAAAUGGAUCCCCAUCCUUCCAAAAACUCAGGAGAGCAGUCCGGGGGGCACUACCACAGUGGAGUAUAUAUCUGUUCUCCAGUUCACAUCCAAUCUCACCAAAGCUCUCCCUAAUACCAGGAUCAAGGUGUAUAAUUCCAAAAUAAUGCAGUUUGAAGACAAAGACUCUUAAUAUUCCAUUAGACAACUCAGUCUUCAGUUCAAAAACACCGUUCCUGAUAAAUCACCAAGAACUCAAAAUCCAUGGAUGUGAAAUGUUCAAUGAAAAGAUGUGGAUGUCUUUAAAUUCAUCAAGUACCAGAUUUACCAUGUAUCUGAACAAGAGUUGAGGAAUACCUUCAACUAUUUGAGAAUUUUAGAGAGGUGCUAGUGCUAUGUACAAUGUACAUGUUUUAUAUUUGGUCAGGGCAUAAUUUACUCAUAGUCAUAAUAGGGCCUAGAAUGCAAAUCAGGAACACACAGCAAAUGUUGUUAGUGAGGCGAGUCCUCAAGGGUUUAAAACCUCUGUAGGACUUGACCUCUUCAGAUUGCAGUCUGUCUCUCAGUGUCAGUCUGUGCAUGACUGCAAUGUGAGCUGUGUUAAUGAAUCAUUUUUCUUAUCAGUUACAAAUGUCAUAUGGAACAACCUAUCAAAUUUUUAUCAACUCUGUGUUUGUUCAUUUAACUGCAGCUCAUGUAUUGUAUUGUCACUACUUUCCAUAUUUUUAUUAAAUUUGCAUGCAAGAUUUGCAGUUAAUUAAAUUUACAUGCAUCUAUU